rnacentral:rRNA from 1 species
GAAAAUUUAAACAUAGUUGGGUUAGCAGUUAAACUUUAUUUUCAUUACUUUUUAAGUUUUUAGGUGAAAUUUUAACUUAAUUUUAAUUGUUUUGAGUUGAAGCUGUGAAAUUUAUUUAAAAAACAAGGAUUAGAUACCCUUUUAUUUUAAAUGUAAAUAUUAACCUGGGUAGUAAUAGAUAUGUUCUUGAAACCCAAAGAAUUUGGCGGUAUUUUAUUCUUAUUAGAGGAACCUGUCCUGUGAUUGAUAAUCCACGAUAGAGAGUUACUUAUUUUUGUGUUCAGUUUGUAUACCUCCGUCAUCAGAGUAUCUUUUUAGAGGUAAUACUCAUUUAAUACUAAUUAUGUUAUGUCAGGUCAAGGUGCAAUUUAUGAAUAAGUAGAGAUGGGUUACAUUAAAUUAUAUUUAAACGAAUUUUUGUUAUUAAUAACUUUAUGAAGGUGGAUUUAAAAGUAAAAUUAAUUCUUUAUUAGUUUGAUUUUGGCUCUAAAAUAUGCACACAUCGCCCGUCGCUCUUAUUUUAAAAUAAGAUAAGUCGUAACAUAGUAGACGUAAUGGAAAUUGUGUCUAGAUAGUAAA